rnacentral:rRNA from 1 species
UUUUCAGCCUAAAUAGUGGAAAGAGUAAGAGGUGGCAAAGACCGGUGCCAGCCGCCGCGGUACCACGGCACCCUCGAGUGGUAGCCACUAUUAUUGGGCCUAAAGCGUUCGUAGCCGGUUUGGUAAAUUCUUGGGUAAAUCGUACAGCUUAACUGUGCGGAUUCCGGGGACACUACCAGACUUGAGACCGGGAGAGAUCAGAGGUACUNGUAGGGGAGCGGUGAAAUGUUGUAAUCCUACAGGGACCACCAGUGGCGAAGGCGUCUGAUCAUAACGGCUUUGACGGUGAGGAACGAAACCCUGGGGCGCAAACGGGAUUAGAUACCCCGGUAGUCCAGGGCGUAAACGCUGCUGACUUGGUGUUGGAGAUCCUACGAGGGUGUCCAGUGCUGGCGCGAAGGUAUUUAGUCAGCCGCCUGGGGAGUACGGUCGCAAGACUGAAACUUAAAGGAAUUGGCGGGGGAGCACUGCAACGUGUGGAGCGUGCGGUUUAAUUGGAUUCAACGCCGGAAAACUCACCGGGGGCGACGGUUACAUGAAGGCCAAGCUGAUGACUUUGCCUGAUUUUCCGAGAGGUGGUGCAUGGCCGCCGUCAGUUCGUACCGUAAGGCGUUCUGUUAAGUCAGAUAACGAACGAGACCUCCGUCACCAUUUGCUAUUCUCUUCUCCGGAAGGGGAGCACUAUGGUGGUACCGCCACUGUUAAAGUGGAGGAAGGAGGGGGCAACGGUAGGUCAGUAUGCCCCGAAUCUCCCGGGCUACACGCGCGCUACAAAGGCCAGGACAAUGGGCUUCGACACCGAAAGGUGAAGGCAACCCCGAAACCUGGUCGUAAUUCGGAUUGAGGGCUGCAAUUCGCCCUCAUGAAGCUGGAAUACGUAGUAAUCGCGGGUCAACAUCCCGCGGUGAAUAUGCCCCUGCUCCUUGCACACACCGCCCGUCAAACCACCUUAGUUGGGUCUGGACGAGGGUUUGUCUUAUGACACGCUCGAAUCCUGUU